UCAUAAUUAUAUAGCUCUCAGAACACAGUAUAAAUCUAAAUCACAUGUGAUAGAUAAAGUAUGAGUAUGAUAGUUGUAAGACCCUAAUUUUGACCCUAAGAUCCCUCAUGGCAUCAUAUCAUUGCACAUUGCAUUUGCCUCAAGGAUCAUAUCAUCUUGGCUCCUCAACCCUAGGGUUGGGACUGGUGUGAGUUGGUUUGAGACCACCAAGCAUGCUUGAAU
rnacentral:lncRNA from 1 species